CGCCAGACUCCUACGGGAGGCAGCAGUGGGGGAUAUUGCACAAUGGGGGAAACCCUGAUGCAGCGACGCCGCGUGUGGGAAGACGGUCCUCUGGAUUGUAAACCACUGUCCCCAGGGACGAAGAUGACGGUACCUGCAAAGGAAGCACCGGCUAACUCCGUGCCAGCAGCCGCGGUAAUACGUAGGGGGCGAGCGUUAUCCGGAAUUACUGGGUGUAAAGGGAGCGUAGACGGCGAGGUAAGCCUGAAGUGGAAGCCCGCGGCCCAACCGCGGAACUGCUUUGGGAACUGUUUUGCUGGAGUAUGGGAGGGGUAAGCGGAAUUCCUGGUGUAGCGGUGAAAUGCGUAGAUAUCAGGAGGAACACCGGUGGCGAAGGCGGCUUACUGGACCAUAACUGACGUUGAGGCUCGAAAGCGUGGGGAGCGAACAGGAUUAGAUACCCUUGUA
rnacentral:rRNA from 1 species